rnacentral:rRNA from 1 species
UACGUAGGGGGCAAGCGUUGUCCGGAUUUAUUGGGCGUAAAGAGCUCGUAGGCGGUUUGGUAAGUCGGAUGUGAAAUCUCCAGGCUCAACCUGGAGGGGUCAUUCGAUACUGCCGUGGCUAGAGGUCGGUAGGGGAGUGUGGAAUUCCUGGUGGAGCGGUGAAAUGCGCAGAUAUCAGGAGGAACACCCGUGGCGAAGGCGGCGCUCUGGGCCGAAACUGACACUGAGGAGCGAAAGCGUGGGGAGCGAACAGG